GAUGAAGAACGUAGCGAAAUGCGAUAAGUAAUGUGAAUUGCAGAAUUCCGUGAAUCAUCGAAUCUUUGAACGCACAUUGCGCCCCCUGGUAUUCCGGGGGGCAUGCCUGUUCGAGCGUCAUUUCAACCCUCAAGCCCCGCUUGGUGUUGGGCCCCGCCCGCUGUGGCCGGCCCUAAAGACAGUGGCGGCGCCGCCUGGCCCUCAGCGUAGUACAUCUCUCGCUCCAGGGUCCGGUGGCCGCCUGCCAGAACCCCCCAACUCUGUGGUUGACCUCGGAUCAGGUAGGGAUACCCGCUGAACUUAAGCAUAUCAAUAAGCGGAGGA
rnacentral:misc_RNA from 1 species